GGAGCCGGUCUGAUUCAGCGCUGCCCGUGAGCCGUGCGCCAGCUUCCCAUGGCCGGUCCCGCGCGCCAGGCUUCGGCAUCGGCCCCGGCAGAGCCUCCUGCCUCACCUGCGGCCCCAGAAGAAGUUUUUGAAAAAGCUGUGCUGCAGCACAGUCGACCUGGGUGAAGAUCCACCUAAGUCCUGCACUUCAGAAACAGGAAGAUGAGCAAGAACAGAAGCGCUCUAGAAACCUUGUCAGAGUCGAGGCAUUUGGCUAACCCGGUGCUGCACGGGGAUGCGCCGGGGAGGUGGAAAGUACAAGUUGCGUGCUAUAUGAAAGACACUGUUACUCAUCUGCGCCAAAUUUGCACUUUGCCACUCAUUUCUCAUGGUCACAGCCGGCUGCUCUCCGCGCUGUGCUGCACCACUGCUAUGUGCUAAAAGGAGGCGGGGGAAAGGCACCCUGAUGGCCCCGGAGGAGGAGCUGCGCUUGCUGCUGCCCCAGCACAGCCUACGAGGUGGCACGCACCCAGCUGCGCCUGGUGCAGAGCCCGCGAGCCCAAAAUCUGAUCUCUGGCGCAGCGGCACGAGAAAGGACUAUCCUGCUGAAUAGCUCUUCUCUCCCACUAGUAAUGCCAAUCCUGGUUUUUUUUAUCCUCAAUGUGGAAUCAUGUUUAUUUUUGGAAGCUCGUUUUACAGUUCAAUUUUUUUUUUAGUAUUACUAUUUCGAGUUACAAUUUAGAGAUAAUAUUUUCUUUCAUUCUGAUUAAUCUGUUAAAUAAAUAUGCAAAUAUA